rnacentral:rRNA from 1 species
UACAGAGGUCUCAAGCGUUGUUCGGAAUCACUGGGCGUAAAGGGUGCGUAGGUGGCGUGGUAAGUCAGAUGUGAAAGCCCGGGCUCAACCUCGGAAUUGCAUCCGAUACUGCCGUGCUAGAGUACUGAAGAGGUGACUAGAAUUCUCGGUGUAGCAGUGAAAUGCGUAGAUAUCGAGAGGAAUACCAACGGCGAAGGCAGGUCACUGGGCAGUUACUGACACUGAGGCACGAAGGCCAGGGAGCAAACGGG